AACGAACGCUGGCGGCAUGCCUAACACAUGCAAGUCGAACGAGACCUUCGGGCCUAGUGGCGCACGGGUGCGUAACGCGUGGGAACCUGCCCUUAGGUUCGGAAUAACUCCCCGAAAGGGGUGCUAAUACCGGAUAAUGUCUUCGGACCAAAGAUUUAUCGCUUUUGGAUGGGCGCGCGUUGGAUUAGCUAGUUGGUAGGGUACAAGCCUACCAAGGCGACGAUCCAUAGCUGGUCUGAGAGGAUGAUCAGCCACACUGGGAAUGAGACACGGCCCAGACUCCUACGGGAGGCAGCAGUGGGGAAUAUUGGACAAUGGGCGAAAGCCUGAUCCAGCAAUGCCGCGGGAGUGAUGAAGGCCUUAGGGUUGUAAAGCUCUUUUAGCCGGGAUGAUAAUGACAGUACCGGGAGAAUAAGCACCGGCUAACUACGUG
rnacentral:rRNA from 1 species